rnacentral:rRNA from 1 species
GGUUAAGUUAGAAAGGGCGCACGGUGGAUGCCUUGGCACUAGGAGCCGAAGAAGGACGGGACUAACACCGAUAUGCUUUGGGGAGCUGUACGUAAGCGUUGAUCCAGAGAUUUCCGAAUGGGGGAACCCACUAUCUUUAGUCGGAUAGUAUCCUUACGUGAAUACAUAGCGUGAGGAAGGCAGACCCAGGGAACUGAAACAUCUAAGUACCUGGAGGAAGAGAAAGAAAAAUCGAUUUCCUGAGUAGCGGCGAGCGAAACGGAAAGAGCCCAAACCAAGAAGCUUGCUUCUUGGGGUUGUAGGACACUCUAUACGGAGUUACAAAAGAAAGUUAUAAAUGAAGCGGUCUGGAAAGGCCCGCCAAAGACGGUAACAGCCCGGUAGUUGAAAUGGCUUUCCCUCCAGAGUGGAUCCUGAGUACGGCGGAACACGUGAAAUUCCGUCGGAAUCCGGGAGGACCAUCUCCCAAGGCUAAAUACUCCCUAGUGACCGAUAGUGAACCAGUACCGUGAGGGAAAGGUGAAAAGCACCCCGGAAGGGGAGUGAAACAGUUCCUGAAACCGUGUGCCUACAAGUAGUUAGAGCCCGUUAAUGGGUGAUAGCGUGCCUUUUGUAGAAUGAACCGGCGAGUUACGAUUUGUUGCAAGGUUAAGCGGAAAAAGCGGAGCCGUAGCGAAAGCGAGUCUGAAUAGGGCGCAUAAGUAACAGGUCGUAGACCCGAAACCAGGUGAUCUACCCAUGUCCAGGAUGAAGGUAAGGUAAUACUUACUGGAGGUCCGAACCCACGCACGUUGAAAAGUGCGGGGAUGAGGUGUGGGUAGCGGAGAAAUUCCAAUCGAACUUGGAGAUAGCUGGUUCUCUCCGAAAUAGCUUUAGGGCUAGCCUCGAGGUAAAGAGUCAUGGAGGUAGAGCACUGUUUGGACUAGGGGCCCUUCUCGGGUUACCGAAUUCAGAUAAACUCCGAAUGCCAUGUACUUAUACUCGGGAGUCAGACUGCGAGUGAUAAGAUCCGUAGUCGAAAGGGAAACAGCCCAGACCACCAGUUAAGGUCCCCAAAUAUAUGUUA